CCUCGGCGCGGUCCUCUAGGAGCCCUCGGUGUCGGUGUUGUCGCUGCCUGUCGUAUUCCCGUGAUCCCCUUCUCCCUGCCGCCAGCUGUUCUGCAUCUUGCGGAGCGCCCGCUUCCUGUGGGACCCGCAGUGUGAGCAGGUUGUGAGCAGGUGCGUGAGCCUAAGGGUCAGCCCUUCGCCACUGCCUCUCCUUGCCUCAGGGAGUGUCGUCUUUGGUUGGAGCGGUGUGAUUCUGAGACAAGGUCCCACAGCAGUUCCUGGCUAGGCCGCUGCUCCAUGGCGUGCCGGAGCUUCAGUGUGUGUUUGCGCUCCACCUUGCAGUCAUCCUCUGCCUUCAUGAGGCUGUGCCU